rnacentral:rRNA from 1 species
UACGAAGGGAGCUAGCGUUGUUCGGAAUCACUGGGCGUAAAGCGCGCGUAGGCGGCCAUGUAAGUCAGGGGUGAAAUCCCGGGGCUCAACCCCGGAACUGCCUUUGAAACUGCAUGGCUAGAGUCUGUGAGAGGGUGGUGGAAUUCCUAGUGUAGAGGUGAAAUUCGUAGAUAUUAGGAGGAACACCAGUGGCGAAGGCGGCUCACUGGCUCGGUACUGACGCUGAGGUGCGAAAGCGUGGGGAGCAAACAGG